ensembl:lncRNA
CACCAGUAGACUACCCCACCACAAGACCAUGUGGACAACACCAGUAGACUACCCCACCACCCACCACAGGACCAUGUGGACAACACCAGUAGACUACCCCACCACCCCACCACAGGACCAUGUGGACAACACCAGUAGACUACCCCAACACAGGACCAUGUGGACAACACCAGUAGACUACCCCACCACCCACCACCCACCACAGGACCAUGUGGACAACACCAGUAGACUACCCCACCACAGGACCAUGUGGACAACACCAGUAGACUACCCCACCACCCCACCACAGGACCAUGUGGACAACACCAGUAGACUACCCCACCACAGGACCAUGUGGACAACACCAGUAGACUACCCCACCACAGGACCAUGUGGACAACACCAGUAGACUACCCCACCACAGGACCAUGUGGGCAACACCAGUAGACUACCCCACCACAGGACCAUGUGAACAGGAUUCAGUAUGUUAUGGGAACUGAAUGGUGACAGCUGUAGGAUUCAGUAUGUUAUGGGAACUGAAGGGUGACAGCUGUAGGAUUCAGUAUGUUAUGGGAACUGAAGGGUGACAGCUGUAGGAUUCAGUAUGUUAUGGGAACUGAAUGGUGACAGCUGUAGGAAUCAGUAUGUUUUGGAAACGGUGGAUGACCUCUAAAGGAGAUCUAGGGGGUGACUCAUGACUCAUGUAAAAGUUGCCAUUUUCUAUAUGCAUAGCAAGGCUUUGGCACAGAUAACACAAUGUAUUGUUAGAGGUAGGGCAAACAUUAUCCAUCACAAACACAUCUUUAAGUCUGAAGUUCAAUUCAAAAUAUUGCUAUUAAAUCAGGGUUUGAAUUUUAAAAAUCAUACAUUGCUUCUGUUCACUUUGAUUAUCAAUGAGACAAUCACUUUCCGUCGAUUGUCAAUGAGACAAUCACUUUCCGUCGAUUGUCAAUGAGACAAUCACUUUCCGUCGAUUAUCAAUGAGACAAUCACUUUCCGUCGAUUAUCAAUGAGACAAUCACUUUCCGUCGAUUAUUAUCACAGAAAACAGAAAACAAAAUAUGAUGAAUUACUAUGAAUCAUGAAAACAACAUGAUCGUGUGUUGAAAAGGACAUGUUUCCCACACAGCACCCUAAUCUCUAUUAGAGUACACUACUGUUGACCAGAGCUGCAUGGGCCUGGUCAAAACUAGAGCACUACGGGAACAGGGUGCCAUUUGGGACGAAUAUACAGACUGGGAAAUAUGUACAUACUGUAUUUGAGCUUCAUAUCAUUGACUGGGGAAUGGUGCAUAGAUAACAGUUUAGCUAAAGAUCUCAACAACUAAAAAUACAUAAUAUAUAGGAACUAUUUCAUUCUGUUGGUUAAUAUAAUAUAGAAUACAACAUACACCAAGCUUCAAUAGGAUCCAUGCAUAGGUAAUAGCUUGAGAGAACAUUACAGUUGUGAAAUCAUCUCAGAAAGGAAGUUUGAGCAAAGGCACGUUGUGUUUCCCAUGACUACACAGCGAUGUAAAGAACCAACAAAUAACAUCACUGUCAUUUAGAGCAGAAUAACACUGUGGGAUGUUGGGAAAUGGGAGGGACGAGAACUGAUGUCAUGCUGGUUGUAUCUGAAGUGUUUAAAUCCCUCUCACAAUGGGUGACGAUGAGAGGGUAACCAUAUUAUUAGAGUCUGGUCUAGUCUGGUGGAGUCUAGUCUACUCUAGUCUGGUGGAGUCUAGUCUCGUCUACUCUAGUCUGGUGGAGUCUGGUCUACUCUAGUCUGGUGGAGUCUAGUCUACUCUAGUCUGGUGGAGUCUAGUCUACUCUAGUCUGGUGGAGUCUAGUCUACUCUAGUCUGGUGGAGUCUAGUCUACUCUAGUCUGAUGGAGUCUAGUCUAGUCUGGUGGAGUGGAGUCUAGUCUAGUCUGGUGGAGUCUGGUCUGGUGGAGUCUAGUCUGGUGGAGUCUAGUCUAGUCUAGUCUGGUGGAGUCUGUAAGUAACCACAUUGUGGGCUUGUUACAAUACGUAAAUCAUGACAGAUUUGACAAAAAUCUAUUUUGUUAGAUCAGAUUGUUGAAUGUGUUCCAGUCUGGUCAAUAAAACAUCUGUGUUCCAUUGACUCAUUUAAUGCAACUAUGCAGAUAUACAGGAAGUUAUGACGUCAUCCAGACACUGCUAGUGAUUGGCCAGCAUGGAUAUGGCCGAACUCUGUUCCCUCCUUUUCAUCCAAUGACCAAUAGCAGCAGCCUUGUUUGCAGUCCGUUCCUUCUCCUCUGAAUUGCAGUCUCUAUUCUGCAGAAUGCCAAUCUAUCUAUACCCUCUUCAUAAACAGUCUAAAACAGUUUAUAAUGCCAAUCGGUCUAUACAAUAAUGCCCUGUGAUGCUUCUUACAGUUGAAAUGAAUGAAGGACCAUGAGAUCAUCAGGUACACAGAAAGGAAAAAAAUGUGAAAGGUAGAGACCAGAACCUAUACCUUAUUCGGUCAGUGAAGUUCAGGGGAGGAGGACAGGUAUGUUGUUAGUUGGUGCUCCAUACUGUACAGUACGUAGUGUUGAGCCUCAUAGCCAAUCAGAUGAUGUUAAACUCCAGUGGGAGGAGUCAGUCAUUGGUUUCAACAUGUCUGUUCGUUGGCAGGCAGCGAUCAGGCACGGCACACGUCCCAGAUGGCUUGCGGGUAGCAUGGUGGAUUGUGGGUCGUGUUGUGUGGAUGCUGCACCCAUCUGUUGGGGGUGUGGCCUGGUG